UUUGGGUGCUGAUAGUGGGGCUAUUGCUUCUUCCUUGA
rnacentral:tRNA from 2 species